rnacentral:rRNA from 2 species
GUUGACCUCGGAUCAGGUAGGGAUACCCGCUGAACUUAAGCAUAUCAAUAAGCGGAGGAAAAGAAACCAACCGGGAUUGCCUCAGUAACGGCGAGUGAAGCGGCAAGAGCUCAAAUUUGAAAGCUGGCUCCUUCGGGGUCCGCAUUGUAAUUUGCAGAGGAUGCUUCGGGUGCGGCCCCUGUCUAAGUGCCCUGGAACGGGCCGUCAGAGAGGGUGAGAAUCCCGUCUGGGAUGGGGUGUCCGCGCCCGUGUGAAGCUCCUUCGACGAGUCGAGUUGUUUGGGAAUGCAGCUCUAAAUGGGUGGUAAAUUUCAUCUAAAGCUAAAUACUGGCCGGAGACCGAUAGCGCACAAGUAGAGUGAUCGAAAGAUGAAAAGCACUUUGAAAAGAGAGUUAAAAAGCACGUGAAAUUGUUGAAAGGGAAGCGCUUGCGACCAGACUCGCCUCCAGGGUUCAGCCGGCAUUCGUGCCGGUGUACUUCCCUGGGGGCGGGCCAGCGUCGGUUUGGGCGGCCGGUCAAAGGCUCCCGGAAUGUAGUGCCCUCCGGGGCACCUUAUAGCCGGGAGUGCAAUGCGGCCAGCCUGGACCGAGGAACGCGCUUCGGCACGGACGCUGGCAUAAUGGUUGCAAACGACC